rnacentral:lncRNA from 1 species
GUGAAUGAAAAAUACAUUUUCUAAAUUUGAAUCUCGAUCUCUUGGCAAGAAGUUAACCCAGUUAUCUUUAAAUUCUGAAACUGCAAAAAUUUGCAGAAGACGAAAUCUUCCUGUCAACGAGUUAGUUGGUGUACAAGACACUCUCGGCGAACCUACCGGCAAGUUCAACUAUUUGGUCUGGUAUACGAAACCAGAAUCGGCAGAAACACC